rnacentral:tRNA from 1 species
GCGGACAUGGCGGAAUUGGCAGACGCACCAGACUUAGGAUCUGGCGGGAAACCGUGGGGGUUCAAGUCCCUUUGUCCGCA